AGAUAGUCUUGUGUGACUGAUGAGCAUCCGAUGAAGUGGUAAUGCCGUCUGCAAGACACUCAUAAAGCAUUCAGCGAAGAGGACAACGUGUUGAGUGGCAGCCAACUACCAGAGUGGAUUGCUUGGUUCCGGACGCAGAAAAUACUCAAAACGAUAUUUUCUCACCCCAUAUUUUACCUUUCACAAUUAAACAAUAUUUCAUUUAUGUAAUGGAUUUGUAAAGUCAUCCAAACUGACAAAUCAGAUUUCCUCACCUGUAACUCUCCUACUUUUUAGUUACAUGGAUAUCAUCAUAAUCAAAGUCUUUUGAAGGUAUGGCCAGUUUUAUCGUUGUGGAACUUCAAAAUAAAGCACAGAAUACGUUCGAUUUGCAGAUAGAGAUACAAAAAUUGAGGCACUUUGUCUUACUUAAUAAAGAGAAUUAUAUAAUACA